GCUGUGGCUCAGUGGCAAAGCAUUUGGCUUCCAUGCAAAAAGUCCCAGGUUCAGUCCUGGCAUCUCCC